rnacentral:rRNA from 1 species
AAUAGAUACCCGGGUAGUCCACGCCGUAAACGGUGGGCGCUAGGUGUGGGUUUCCUUCCACGGGAUCCGCGCCGUAGCUAACGCAUUAAGCGCCCCGCCUGGGGAGUACGGCCGCAAGGCUAAAACUCAAAGGAAUUGACGGGGGGCCCGCACAAGCGGCGGAGCAUGUGGAUUAAUUCGAUGCAACGCGAAGAACCUUACCUGGGUUUGACAUAUACCGGAUCGCCUCAGAGAUGGGGUUUCCCUUGUGGUCGGUAUACAGGUGGUGCAUGGCUGUCGUCAGCUCGUGUCGUGAGAUGUUGGGUUAAGUCCCGCAACGAGCGCAACCCUUGUCCUGUGUUGCCAGCAAUUCGGUUGGGGACUCGCAGGAGACUGCCGGGGUCAACUCGGAGGAAGGUGGGGACGACGUCAAGUCAUCAUGCCCCUUAUGUCCAGGGCUUCACACAUGCUACAAUGGCCGGUACAGAGGGCUGCGAUACCGUGAGGUGGAGCGAAUCCCUUAAAGCCGGUCUCAGUUCGGAUCGGGGUCUGCACUCGACCCGUG